rfam:Populus trichocarpa isolate Nisqually-1 chromosome 15, whole genome shotgun sequence.
UAGUUUGUUUGGACUAGAUUCUCAUCUAGUAAUGUCAGAUCAUCACUUGAAUGCUUAGAACUGCUCGUGUCUACAAGCCCGACUACAUCAUUCUUCUUGGAUUGGAAAGAACUCGUCCUCAAGUUCUAUUCUUCUU